GUCUGUUCAGGAGCAUGGACAUCAGAGGUGAGAGUCACUGCGGAGAUUGGGGACCACAGCUGGGUCAAGAGCAAGAUGGAACCAGAAAGAGCACAAGGACAAAUCUACCCAGAAGUUGGCCUCUUUGCCAGGGUACUGUCCCUCCCUAAGACCACCCGCCAUGUUGCCAGGGGGAGUUGUCAUGGAAGCACAAUAGAGCAACCUCUCUCCUGGAGCCUGCGUGUCUUCAUUUAACCUGUUUCCUGAGCCUGUACUGAUCUUCCUUUGCACGAGCGCCUGCCAAAGUCUCAUUACUCACAUGCCUUUCAGAGAAAUCCCACAGAGACUUCAGACCUCCACUCACCUACACAGAAGCCUCUAGAUAGUCCUACACUAAGGCAAGUUCCUUGGUCUUUGUAUUAUUCUGAACAUGACUUGUCUCCAUGUUGCUGAUGAUUUAAGAUAUUGGAAGUCUUCUUUGCUAACAAUUUAAUCUUUCAAGGGCAAAGGCUGUUUUUGUUCACCUUUGUUGCUUCUUGGUUUGUGACUCUCAAAACAUAUGUUAAAAGUAAGGAAG